UACGGAGGGUGCGAGCGUUGUCCGGAAUCACUGGGCGUAAAGGGCGCGUAGGCGGCCUGAUAAGUAAGGGGUGAAAUCCUGCGGCUUAACCGCAGGGCUGCCUUCUAAACUGUCGGGCUAGAGCACGGUAGAGGCAGAUGGAAUUCCCGGUGUAGCGGUGGAAUGCGUAGAGAUCGGGAAGAACAUCAGUGGCGAAGGCGGUCUGCUGGGCCGUUGCUGACGCUGAGGCGCGACAGCGUGGGGAGCAAACAGG
rnacentral:rRNA from 1 species